rnacentral:rRNA from 1 species
AUUGAACGCUGGCGGCAUGCUUUACACAUGCAAGUCGAACGGCAGCACGGGGGCAACCCUGGUGGCGAGUGGCGAACGGGUGAGUAACAUAUCGGAACAUGUCCGCAAGUGGGGGAUAACGUAGCGAAAGUUACGCUAAUACCGCAUAUUCCCUGAGGGGGAAAGGAGGGGAUCGCAAGACCUUUCGCUUACGGAGUGGCAGAUAUGAGGUUAGCUAGUUGGUGGGGUAAAGGCCUACCAAGGCGACGAUCUGUAGCGGGUCUGAAGAGGAUGAGCCGCCACACUGGGACUGAGACACGGCCCAGACUCCUACGGGAGGCAGCAGUGGGGAAUUUUGGACAAUGGGGGAAACCCUGAUCCAGCCAUGCCGCGUGAGUGAAGAAGGCCUUCGGGUUGUAAAGCUCUUUCGGACAGAAAGAAAUCGUACUUACUAAUACUAAGUAUGGAUGACGGUACUGUAAGAAGAAGCACCGGCUAACUACGUGCCAGCCGCCGCCGUAA